CCGCAUCUUUGAAAACCCCUCAGUGGCCUUUGUGACCAACGGGACAAAAAAGGAUGCUAGAGAAAAUCGGGAAUUCCAAGGCAGAGGGCUAGAUCAGUGGCCUUCGGCCAUUUCACCUCCUGGACAUUA
ensembl:snoRNA small nucleolar RNA SNORA14